ACGAUAUAUCAGUCGGGCUCUAGUAUUGUCUUAUAAAUCUAUACUUUAUUAUUAAAAAUAUUAGAUGCACAUUAAUGUUCUCCUAAUGGCCCUGCUUUAGAGUUAACAACAUUAAGAUCCAGAAGGAGAGAGCUCAGAAACUUUCUGUAGUGACGUUCAGACAUUUCUUAACAAUUAUGAGAAAAUGAUGGCCAACAGUUUAGGGCUGGAAAUUUUUAGCCACCACAUUCAGGGAUGUGAUUACAAAUAUCGCAACACGUCCAAAAAAAAUAUUCAAAUCAAUUGGGAAUUAAAGUGGCUAUAUGUAUGCUCUAAAUUCAUAGAAGUGCUACUAUAUGUCUGCUCUGAUCUGCCUGUAGAAAUAAUCUGAUAUAAUACUCUAGUCUCAAAGGUAGUUGGUAUAAUUCAAUUCAUUUGUAUUGCACUUUUCACAGCAUAUUCACUAACCAUGUAUAGGCCAUAUUUAUGCAUGAAAUCUGUUUUCAAAUGUUUCCACAAACAAAUCAUUCACCAGUAACAUUCCAAUAGCAUACUACAUUUUAUUCUUAGUCUACAAAAAAAAGGAACAGCUGAAACCACACAUGCUUAAAUCUCACAAUCUGGGUCGGUUUAUGUUAAUUUUAUGCAUGGUUAUUUAAUUUUAAGUAUAUUUCAUAUACAGUAAAAGAGUAAGAAAAUGUGUCUUAUGUUUGCUGAGAUUGACGAAAGGCUGUAAAGGAAAGGUUGCAUGGAUCUCUUAUACAGAGAUGGAUUUGCUGCAUUUUAUGCAAAUUAAUAACCUCAGGCACACGGUUGCUCAAUUAGGAUACUCAUUUACAUUCGAACAAGAUUAAGAAAAAAUUCAUGCUUUUAAAUGUGUUGUGAAUGAGGCAGAUAUUUUUAAUGUGAAGUUCUCUUUUGUGUAUAAAUACACCACUCAAUUAUUGGUGAAUGAGACUCACCGUUCUAAAGCAGCUUUACUAAGAGCAGUGCUUUACAAAACUGUGCACAGUGCCGAUGGUAGCAGGGAAAGCUCUGUGAUGUUAAAGUAGAUGAGGAAAAGACCUUGAGAGGAACCAAGAUUCAGCUGGGGAAGCCUUCAUCUGGCUCACAUUUAUACAGCAUACAUACAAAUGACACUUUUAACAAAUCAAUCCUGAUACAUAAUGCUAGAUAAUUUUGACUAAUUUAACAGAUUAUAAUAGUUUAUAUUUAAAUUUUGUAGUUGUGUGUUUUUUGUUGUUUGUUUUUGUUUGUUUGUUUGUGGAUCAGUGAGUGAAUUAUUCUAUAUUGAAACAAUUUCCCCCUACUAAAAUGAUAAAUGAGUUGUUGUCAGUACAACUCUCCAUCUCAUUGCCAUUAAAACUUUAACUCUACAUUAAUAUCUACUUACUCUAAGAAUAAAUAACACUGUGUAGCAUUCUAUGAUAUUCGCACUUGUACUGAGACAACUUGAGGCCUUUUUGGCUUUUUUAUUAUAUUGGCCAUUAUUUUAUUAGUUUUACAUAAAUGUCAGUUCUACUGCUGAAAGAUUCUUGUUUCGCUUUCUAACCACAUCUUAAUGCCAUAUUCUUCAUAGUGGGUCUGUUAGGAGAACACUUUUUCUUCGCAUGAGAGAGUAGUUAUACCUCUGGUAACUGUUUAAACUGUUUUACAGUGUCUGUCCACUGUAUCUUUCCUAUUAUUUUUAUUUAUUUUUUUUUUUUUUAUAAUCUACUCCAUCUGGAUUAUCCAUCUAUUUGAAUCUUUAAAAAUGUCCUCUGUUUUUACUCGUUCCUAACUGUAUUUUUCUUCCACAGAAGACUCAAGUAUGCCUACAUGGGCAAAAGCAAUGCUUGGUAUAGGUGGUGUGGCGGGUGUGGUUGGAGUUCUGUGCCUUGUGUAUUUCAAGUAUUUCAAGAAACGCUCAGACCAUGAAAAGGUUGAAAAAAAGGACGAGGAUGGAUUAUAACUCCCUCACAUACCUGGUCUUCAUGAAGUUGUCCUGCAUGAAAUCCAAGUGAAGAAUCCUGCAACUAUAUAUACGCACUUCCCAGAACCCGGCAAGAGGCGGACUGAUUCCCCGCAACAAAUUCCUCCAUAAUCAGAACCAAUGUUGCUUUAAAAAGACAAGCUUAAUUUGGAAAAACUCCUUUCUAGCAGUCUCUAACUUUUUUCCCAUUCUGUACUCUAAAACAGAUCUGUCAUCUUCACAUAAGUCACUUUUAUAAAGUGUAUGCUUGUCAUUUCUUAAUUUUUAACACUGUUAAUACAGUGAUCACUCUUCCUGAGAACAUCUGAUUCAUGACAAAAAAGUGCAGACUGUCCCUUACCUCACUGAUUUAGUCGAGGGCUGCAUUUAGCAUGAAUAUUUAUGUAGAAGGUCUGAUCAAAUUUAAAAGAGAUGAAUGUCUGAAUUUGUAAUUAUUUCAUAGUAUUUGGGAAUCCACAUUGUACAAACAAAACCAAAUGUUGUACAAUGCUUAAGGCUUUGUUUUCAUUUUGCCUGUUCUUACUUUUCAUUUGGAUAAAACGUGUAUAUUACCCUUCCAGUAGAUACACUGCAGAAUGUGAUUUGCAGCACAGAUUUUAAAUUGAAAGUUCUGUUAAAUCCUGCUGAAGCCUUUUCAUUCUAUGGUUUUUGUUAAGGGUUAUCUAGCUGUAUGUGUUGAGCAGGAUUUGUAUAGGUUCUAAUUACAUUAGAAAUGCUUUGCUAUUGGUCGAUUACAGACUUCGAUCUAAUGAAGAAAAGACAAUUUGGUAAACUUUUCAUUUCUGUGAUGUUAAACGUCAUUUACUUUUGUCUAUUUUAUUAAUAUUUACAGAUUUUUCCAACGUAGUUAAGCCCAAAUACCUACAGAGGCCUAAUUGCUUUUUGUUAUUGGGCUUUGUGUUUUUUCACCCUUUUGGAAAAGUUUGCUAAUUUCAAUAAUUUAUACUAUCUUAACUUGCUCUUGCCAAAUUGCAGUCAUGUAAAAUCGUCUAGUUUAGUUGAGCUAAUAUUUUCAGCCAUUUUUGUUAAAUUGGUCAAAUAGUAAUUUAAUUUUAACAGCAAAAUUUUUUCCCCAAAUGAGUGUUUUUUUUUUCGUUUGUGUGUUAAAAUUUACUGUUUAAUUGUUUUAUUGUUUUUUUAUCUUGCACUUUCAAAGAUGUAUCAUAUUGUUUUAUUGUAGCAAUUAGGUGUUGUUUGGAAUGGUUUUGAACCACUAUUUUUUUGUGCCACUUUAAACUAGGAAUGCACUGGCAUGACUCUGUGACAGUGCUAAUUCUGGAAAUCAGCAAAGUUGAUCAAAUAUAAAUCCACUUCUUGAAAUUCUGUAUUUCACUGAGAUGUCUGCGUGCUUGGAAAGUCUAAAAACAAAAGCUCCACAAUCAAAACAGAACACUUGGGUUCUUAACUGAUAACGGUUUCCAUUUGUUCAUUUUAUUUUAGUUCUUAGAUAUUGCAGACUUAAGCAUUGAUUCUGUUUGACAAAGUCUGAUGUUGUAAAAUUAGAUUUUGCAAGACCAGUAGCUCCAUCAGUAGAUACAUUUCAUAGUCAACCAGUACAGCUGCUUUCUGUAUCACAAGGCUGCCAAUAAACCAUGUUGCAUUUCCCCUAAAA